AGAGUUCGAUCCUGGCUCAGGAUGAACGCUGGCGGCGCGCCUAACACAUGCAAGUCGAACGGCACCCCUCUCCGGAGGGAAGCGAGUGGCGAACGGCUGAGUAACACGUGGAGAACCUGCCCCCUCCCCCGGGAUAGCCGCCCGAAAGGACGGGUAAUACCGGAUACCCCCGGGAGCCGCAUGGCUCCCGGGCUAAAGCCCCGACGGGAGGGGAUGGCUCCGCGGCCCAUCAGGUAGACGGCGGGGUGACGGCCCACCGUGCCGACAACGGGUAGCCGGGUUGAGAGACCGACCGGCCAGAUUGGGACUGAGACACGGCCCAGACUCCUACGGGAGGCAGCAGUGGGGAAUCUUGCGCAAUGGGGGGAACCCUGACGCAGCGACGCCGCGUGCGGGACGGAGGCCUUCGGGUCGUAAACCGCUUUCAGCAGGGAAGAGUCAAGACUGUACCUGCAGAAGAAGCCCCGGCUAACUACGUGCCAGCAGCCGCGGUAAUACGUAGGGGGCGAGCGUUAUCCGGAUUCAUUGGGCGUAAAGCGCGCGUAGGCGGCCCGGCAGGCCGGGGGUCGAAGCGGGGGGCUCAACCCCCCGAAGCCCCCGGAACCUCCGCGGCUUGGGUCCGGUAGGGGAGGGUGGAACACCCGGUGUAGCGGUGGAAUGCGCAGAUAUCGGGUGGAACACCGGUGGCGAAGGCGGCCCUCUGGGCCGAGACCGACGCUGAGGCGCGAAAGCUGGGGGAGCGAACAGGAUUAGAUACCCUGGUAGUCCCAGCCGUAAACGAUGGACGCUAGGUGUGGGGGGACGAUCCCCCCGUGCCGCAGCCAACGCAUUAAGCGUCCCGCCUGGGGAGUACGGCCGCAAGGCUAAAACUCAA
rnacentral:rRNA from 1 species